rnacentral:rRNA from 1 species
UUUGAUCAUGGCUCAGAAUGAACGUUGGCGGCGUGGAUUAGGCAUGCAAGUCGAGCGCUCAUAGCAAUAUGGGAGCGGCGAACGGCGUAGUAAUAUGUAGGAACGUACCCUCGGGUCGGGGAUAGCCAUGGGAAACUGUGGGUAAUACCCGAUAAUCUCUGCGGAGCAAAGGUGUGAUUCCGCCUGAGGAGCGGCCUACACGAUAUUAGCUAGUUGGUAGGGUAAUGGCCUACCAAGGCUACGAUGUCGUAGGGGGUGUGAGAGCAUGGCCCCCACGACCGGAACUGAGAUACUGUCCGGACACCUACGGGUGGCUGCAGUCGAGAAUCUUCCGCAAUGGACGAAAGUCUGACGGAGCGACGCCGCGUGCGGGAUGAAGGCCCUUGGGUUGUAAACCGCUGUCAGAGGGGAUGAAAUCUUCGGAGGUGCUCCUCCAAAGUUGACAGAGCCUCAAAGGAAGCACGGGCUAAGUACGUG